rnacentral:rRNA from 1 species
AUUGAACGCUGGCGGCAUGCUUUACACAUGCAAGUCGAACGGUAACAGGCCUUCGGGUGCUGACGAGUGGCGAACGGGUGAGUAAUGCAUCGGAACGUGCCCAGAGGUGGGGGAUAACGCAGCGAAAGCUGUGCUAAUACCGCAUGUGAUCUGAGGAUGAAAGCGGGGGACCAGGCAGCAAUGUUUGGCCUCGCGCCUUUGGAGCGGCCGAUGUCAGAUUAGGUAGUUGGUGGGGUAAAGGCCUACCAAGCCGACGAUCUGUAGCUGGUCUGAGAGGACGACCAGCCACACUGGGACUGAGACACGGCCCAGACUCCUACGGGAGGCAGCAGUGGGGAAUUUUGGACAAUGGGCGCAAGCCUGAUCCAGCAAUGCCGCGUGCGGGAAGAAGGCCUUCGGGUUGUAAACCGCUUUUGUACGGAACGAAAAGGCUCUGGCUAAUACCUGGGGCUGAUGACGGUACCGUAAGAAUAAACACCGGCUAACUACGU